GGGUGCGAUCAUACCAGCACUAAUGCACCGGAUCCCAUCAGAACUCCGCAGUUAAGCGUGUUUGGGCGAGAGUAGUACUAGGAUGGGUGACCUCCUUGGAAGUCUUCGUGUUGCACCCC
rfam:Corchorus capsularis cultivar CVL-1 contig06287, whole genome shotgun sequence.